rnacentral:rRNA from 1 species
CAAGUCGAACGAAUCCCACCUGGGCAACUGGGGUGGGGGAAGUGGCGAAAGGGGCAGUAAGGCGUGGGUAACCUACCCCGGGGAUCGGGAUAGCCAUCCUAACGGAUGGGUAAUACCGGGCGAUGUAGCGGCGGGGCAUCUCGUUGCUACGAAAUGAGUUUCGCCUCGGGAGGGGCUCACGUAGUAUUAGCUUGUUGGUGAGGUAACAGCUCACCAAGGCCAAGAUGCUUAGCGGGUGUGAGAGCACGACCCGCGCCACUGGCACUGAGACACUGGCCAGACUCCUACGGGAGGCUGCAGUCGAGGAUCUUCGGCAAUGGGCGCAAGCCUGACCGAGCGACGCCGCGUGUGCGAUGAAGGCCUUCGGGUUGUAAAGCACUGUCGAGGGGGAGAAAAGCCCGCAAGGGUCUGAUCUAUCCCUGGAGGAAGCACGGGCUAAGUUCGUGCCANCAGCCGCGGUAAGACGAACCGUGCAAACGUUGUUCGGAUUCACUGGGCUUAAAGGGCGCGUAGGCGGGCGGUCGAGUCCGGGGUGAAAUCUUUCAGCUCAACUGGAAAAGUGCCUCGGAUACCGGCCAUCUCGAGGGAGGUAGGGGCAUGCGGAACUUCCGGUGGAGCGGUGAAAUGCGUAGAUAUCGGAAGGAACGCCGGUGGCGAAAGCGGCGUGCUGGACCUCUUCUGACGCUGA